CUACGGGGCGCUGCAGUGGGGAAUAUUGCACAAUGGACGAAAGUCUGAUGCAGCAACGCCGCGUGGAGGAUGACACAUUUCGGUGCGUAAACUCCUUUUAUAUAGGAAGAUAAUGACGGUACUAUAUGAAUAAGCACCGGCUAACUCCGUGCCAGCAGCCGCGGUAUUACGGAGGGUGCAAGCGUUACUCGGAAUUACUGGGCGUAAAGAGCGUGUAGGCGGGUUUGUAAGUUGGAUGUGAAAUCCUAUGGCUCAACCAUAGAACUGCAUCCAAAACUGCUUACCUAGAAUAUGGGAGAGGUAGAUGGAAUUUCUGGUGUAGGGGUAAAAUCCGUAGAGAUCAGAAGGAAUACCGAUUGCGAAGGCGAUCUACUGGAACAUUAUUGACGCUGAGACGCGAAAGCGUGGGGAGCAAACAGGAUUAGAUACCCUCGUAGUC
rnacentral:rRNA from 1 species